rnacentral:rRNA from 1 species
AACGAACGCUGGCGGCAGGCUUAACACAUGCAAGUCGAGCGCCCCGCAAGGGGAGCGGCAGACGGGUGAGUAACGCGUGGGAACGUACCCUUUGCUACGGAAUAGCUCCGGGAAACUGGAAUUAAUACCGUAUGUGCCCUACGGGGGAAAGAUUUAUCGGCAAAGGAUCGGCCCGCGUUGGAUUAGCUAGUUGGUGGGGUAAUGGCCUACCAAGGCGACGAUCCAUAGCUGGUCUGAGAGGAUGAUCAGCCACAUUGGGAUUGAGACACGGCCCAAACUCCUACGGGAGGCAGCAGUGGGGAAUAUUGGACAAUGGGCGCAAGCCUGAUCCAGCCAUGCCGCGUGAGUGAUGAAGGCCUUAGGGUUGUAAAGCUCUUUCACUGGAGAAGAUAAUGACGGUAUCCGGAGAAGAAGCCCCGGCUAACUUCGUGCCAGCCGCCGCAGUAAAAC